CCUUUGUCUCCUCCCACCUCAGCAUGAUCUUGGCGCAGAGGAGGGUUGCAAAAGCCAAAACAGAGCCCCAGUCUGUGGAAAGUGCUUGAGGGUCCCAAGCUGGAGGGCACUGGAGAAGAGGCUAGUUCGUGCAAUUGGAAACAAGGAGGAGCCAGGCCGUCAGGUGAAGUUUCUCCAGUUGUGGAUGGAGGAUGCAACUGUCGCGCUAGGAGAGGAGGUCUGGUCUCAUCAGGAGAAUUCUCGGAAGGCGGAUUGACAUGUGAAGCAGGGGAAGAGGUUCAGCACUGCCCCGAGUUCUAUCUUCAGCCGAGGAUGGCUCAGAGGGAACUCAGGGGGGGUCGGAAGGCAUGUGCGCGAAACAGAGUCCAAUGAUGACGCGAGACACCAAUUGCGCACACGUGUCCCUACCGGGCACUGCUACUGAAGAUCUCCAAUCAACGGCACCGGGACGCACCGACACCUGAAGUGGAGUACCCACAUGGACACCACUCAAAGAAGAAGAUUUGUUUUCAAACAAAAGGCUAGCAUUAACUUUUGGUAGCUGAAGAGCAUAGUGAGUAGAAAAGCUUAAUCCUCUUUCAUGAUUCAUUACAAGGAUUUUAGCAUUGUAUUUGUGUCAUUGGAAAGGAGGGCAUACAUUGGUUUUGGCCUUUGCCUUUGUCCUACUGGUAACAUUAUAGCUGUACAUUAAGUGGGAAGUUUUAGUACCAGUUGUGCAGAAGUUGACUAAAUUGAUAAUGAGAUAGCAUUUGACAGAGCUAGACCUGAGUAGUCGUCUGUUAGUCUAUAAGGUGCCACAGGACUCCUUGCUGCUUUUACAGACCUGAGUAGGCUGACCACCUAUGUGACAUUGUGAAGAUAUUAAAGACUCCCCCUAUUUUCACUGUAUUCAC